rnacentral:rRNA from 1 species
UACGUAGGGUGCAAGCGUUGUCCGGAAUUAUUGGGCGUAAAGAGCUCGUAGGCGGUUUGUCGCGUCUGCCGUGAAAGUCCGGGGCUCAACUCCGGAUCUGCGGUGGGUACGGGCAGACUAGAGUGAUGUAGGGGAGACUGGAAUUCCUGGUAUAGCGGUGAAAUGCGCAGAUAUCAGGAGGAACACCGAUGGCGAAGGCAGGUCUCUGGGCAUUAACUGACGCUGAGGAGCGAAAGCAUGGGGAGCGAACAGG